rnacentral:rRNA from 1 species
GAGUUUGAUCAUGGCUCAGGAUGAACGCUGACAGAAUGCUUAACACAUGCAAGUCAGCUUGAAUUUCGGUUUUUAACUUAGAUUUGGGUGGCGGACGGGUGAGUAACGCGUAAAAAACUUGCCUCACAGCUAGGGACAACAUUUAGAAAUGAAUGCUAAUACCGGAGAUUAUGAUUUUAAGGCAUCUUAGAAUUAUGAAAGCUAUAAGCACUGUGAGAGAGCUUUGCGUCCCAUUAGCUAGUUGGAGAGGUAACAGCUCACCAAGGCGAUGAUGGGUAGCCGGCCUGAGAGGGUGAACGGCCACAAGGGGACUGAGACACGGCCCUUACUCCUACGGGAGGCAGCAGUGGGGAAUAUUGGACAAUGGACCGAGAGUCUGAUGCGGGGGUGCGGUGUGCACGAUGAAGUUUUUCGGAAUGUAAAGUGCUUUCAGUUGGGAAGAAACAAAUGACGGUACCAACAGAAGAAGUGACGGCUAAAUACGUGCCAGCAGCCCGCGGUAAUACCUAUGUCACGAGCGUUAUCCGGAUUUAUGGGCGUAAAGCGCGUCUAGGUGGUUAUGUAAGUCUGAUGUGAAAAUGCAGGGCUCACCUCUGUAUUGCGUUGAAACCUGUAUACCUAGAGUACUGGAGAGGUAAGCGGAACUACAAGUGUAGAGGUGAAAUUCGUAGAUAUUUGUAGGAAUGCCGAUGGGGAAGCCAGCUUACUGGACAGAUACUGACGCUAAAGCGCGAAAGCGUGAGUAGCAAACAGGAUUAGAUACCCUGGUAGUCCACGCUGUAAACGAUGAUUACUAGGUGUUGGGGGUCGAACCUCAGCGCCCAAGCAAACGCGAUAAGUAAUCCGCCUGGGGAGUACGUACGCAAGUAUGAAACUCAAAGGAAUUGACGGGGACCCGCACAAGCGGUGGAGCAUGUGGUUUAAUUCGACGCAACGCGAGGAACCUUACCAGCGUUUGACAUCUUAGGAAUGAGCACCCGAUAUUUCAGUGUCCCUUCGGGGAAACCUAAAGACGGGUGCUGCAUGGUUGUCGUCAGCUCGUGCCGUGAGGUGUCGGCUUAAGUGCCAUAACGAGCGCAACCCUUUUCUACGUUUGCCAUCGGGUAAUGCCGGGAACUCCGUGGAUACUGCCGCCGCAAGGCGGAGGAAGGUGGGGAUGACGUCAAAUCAGCACGGCCCUUACGUCCGGGGCUACACACGUCUUACAAUGGUCGGAGCAGCAGGAAGCUACCUGGCGACAGGAUGCUGAUCCCCAAACCCGGCCUCAGUUCGGACUGGAGUCUGCAACCCGACUCCACGAAGCCGGAUUCGCUAGUAAUCGCGCAUCAGCCAUGGCGCGGUGAAUACGUUCCCGGGCCUUGCACACACCGCCCGUC